rnacentral:lncRNA from 1 species
GGGUGCUAUUCUAAAUACUGAAAAAACAAAGAUAAAUAAGACUGUCUUUACCAUUAAGAAACAUCCAGCUGGCAGAGGAGACAGACAUAAAAAUAACUCCUGCAAUGACGUGCUAUGAGAACUUUGCUAGGGGACUGUAGAAGGAGCAGCGAACUAAGAGAGAAAGGUCUCUUCGAUCUAGACAGUGACAUAAGUCUCAGGAGGAAAUGGCACCGAGCUGCAUCCAUCACCGUGUAGAAUUCCCUUUCUUUUCUUGGUGCCAUUGCAUCGAGCAAGGCGGCUGCGUGACUCAGUGGUAGAAGCAGGAUGGGAGGGAGACACUCACCAAGGUUCUAGAGCCGACUUUGUUUCUAAUUCACAGUGUGUGAAAAAUGGCUGAAAUUUCUGAUAGCCCCUUUUUUCAGAUAUGGAACAGAGUUCAUGAUACCUGCCCCAUUCCUGGAGUGGAGUAGCUUGUGAGCUCAAAUAGGAUAAGAAGUGAGGGAUGACUUUAUGAAAGAUAGUGUCUGAUGAAGAUGUGAAGCAGCAUGGUUAUUAACAUUAAGAACUCUGACCAAACCAUUUCCUCACUUUCUAACCUUCUCUUUCGUAGGCCAAGCCAUCUGACGGCCAUAGUCUGUCUUCACACAGCUUGGUUACAGCCCUCUGUGCUCGACCUGCGUGGGGCCCACCCCACCACUCUUCCGUGGGGUGUCAUCAGCAUGUGGAGUUUGGCAUGGUUCCCAUAGAAUCUUCUGAUUCUGCUUCCACUUGUCAUGUUAUUCAUAUAUUCAUUCAUUGCUUCAUUCUUUCCUUCAUUUUACUUUGAGCAAAUUAUGAGUGUUUUUGUUUGAUUCUUCCUUUUUCAAUUUAAAGACAGCAUUAAAAAGUUGCUCUUGCUCAUUCUAAAAUUUAAAACAGUAAAAUAAGAACAAAAAAUUUUUAAUUCCUCUAAAGUUCUCCCACCCAGACAUAACUAUUCUUUACAUUUUAGGAAAUGUGUCUCCAUAUUGGCAAUUCUCAGAGUUAUGUGCACCACCCAGGAAGUUGGCAAGAAUGCAAGAUCUCCCAGGCUCAACACCCAGGGAAUUGUGACUUAGUGUAUCCAGGGUGGGUUGAGGAUUCUAAAUUUAAAAUAUCAGGAGACGUUUUUGAAAUCGGAGGCGAUUCUGAUGCUGACGAUCUGCAGACCAUAUCUGGAAGCAAAAACAAACAGCAGCUAGAAAACCACUGCUGCAGAGAACACUCAGUACCAGUACAGAAAAGUGAUUUCAUAAGAAGCAAGGCGACCUCUGUCUUCCCAGAAAGAGCAUUUUGCCGAGACAAGAAAUUGUCAGCAAGCACAGUGCUUCCAGCCCAUGUGUCCUUCACCCUGGAAUCUUCCUGCUGCCAUGACACAGGCGAUGCAGGCAUCAUGUUCCCACGGAUCAAGCCCUACUCUCUCAAGGUCUGUGAUCCAUCAGAGACUCACCAAAUGGACGUGCUGCUGAUGCACUGGAGCUGUGUCUCCCGUAUCAGGAACCUAAGCCACUCUUACGUAGCCCCUUGUUGGUAUCUUUGCUGCUGCUUUGAUAUGAAGAUAGCAAUCCUAUUUUCCAAAACUGCAUUGACAAAUAAAAGCGAGAGAAUGUGUAAAGCGCUUAACACAGGGCCCAGCACAUAA